AGCUUCAGUAGGGUAUAUUAAAGUUGUUGCAGUUAAAAAGCUCGUAGUCGCAUUUCUGGCGAGAGGAUCCGGUCCGACCUUUUGGUGGGUCCUUGGGUCUCUUUCGCCAUCCUUGAGUGGUCCGUUCUGGCAUUAGGUUGUCGGAGCGUCAGCCGCUCAUCGUUUACUGUGAGAAAAUUAGAGUGUUCAAAGCAGGAUUAUGCCGUUGAAUAUAUUAGCAUGGAAUAAUAAGAUAGGACCUCGGUACUAUUUUGUUGGUUUGCGCACCAAGGUAAUGAUGAACAGGGACAGUUGGGGGUAUUUGUAUUUCGUUGUCAGAGGUGAAAUUCUUAGAUUUACGAAAGACAAACUACUGCGAAAGCAUUUACCAAGGAUGUUUUCA
rnacentral:rRNA from 1 species